AAAGGAAUUUGAUUAUGCGUUCUCUAAAGCUUCCAAAAGGAUCCAGUCCCAGAUACGUAUUACAUUUAGUCAUCAUGGCUCCUUCGUCUCCUCUGCACAAGGGGAAGCAGCCUGUGGCCCUCACCAGAUGCAGAUAUCCAAUCUUCCAGCAAACAGAAUCACGAGGAAACUGACAUCCAGUAAAAGAUCAACAUUAAACAUAAGCCUGGUAGCAGAACCAUAACAGAACCCUGCACUCAUGAUGCCUUCUGAGGACUCUGCCCAUCUUCCUUGAUUAACUCCAGAAUACAGAAGCAACCCUAAAAAUGCAAGCAAACAUCCUGAAGAAGUCAGGAAUGGAUUUUUCUAAGACUCUGUAUAGGCAUACCUCGAAGAUAUUGUGGGUUGGAU
rnacentral:lncRNA from 1 species